rnacentral:tRNA from 1 species
GGGGCUGUAACUCAGUGGCAGAUCCUCAGCUGUACAUGCAGGACGUCCCAGGUUCAAUUCCUGGCAUCUCCA